rnacentral:tRNA from 1 species
GGCUCAGUGGUCCAAUGUUAAAGCGCUCGUCACGGAGCCAGAAGUUCCUGGGUUCGAUUCCCAACGGGGUCG